rnacentral:ncRNA from 1 species
GGUCCUAGCCUUUCUAUCAGCUAUUUUUCGAAUUACACAUGCAAGUAUCCGCACAACCGUGAGAAUGCCCUCUAACCUUAACUAGGCUGAGGAGCCGGUAUCAGGCACAGACCCCUUGCCCAUGACACCUAGUCUUACCACGCCCCCAAGGGUAAUUUCAGCAGUGAUAAAUAUUGUGCAUAAGCGUCAGCUUGACUCAAUCAGAAAAUAUAGAGCUGGCCAAUACGGUGCCAGCCGCCGCGGCUAAACCGCUAGGCUCAAGUUGAUAGUUUCCGGCGUUAAGCGUGGUUAAAGACCCCCCCCCGACUAGAGUUAAAUAAUAAUUCAGCUGUUAUAAGCUUAUUAGCAAGAAACUUAAAAACGAAAGUUACUCUACUACCUCUUGAACCCACGACAGCUGGGGUACAAACUGGGAUUAGAUACCCCACUAUGCCCAGCCGUAAAAUUAAUUCACACCACUCGCGCCAGGGGAUUACAAGCUAAGCUUCAAACCCAAAGGAUUUGACGGUGUCCCAUCCAUCUAGAGGAGCCUGUCCUAUAACCGAUGAUCCACGUUUUACCUUACCCCUUCUUGCUCUCAGCCUGUAUACCUCCGUCGUAAGCCUACCAUGUGAAUGCUACAGUACGCUUAAUGAUUCUUACCCUAUCAAUACGUCAGGUCAAGGUGCAGCUUAUGAAGAGGACAGAGAUGGGCUACAAUUUCUGCAACAGAACAAACGGAACAACUAAAUUGAAACCAGUUGUGAAGGCGGAUUUAGUAGUAAAAAGAAAAUAGAAUAUUCUUUUUAAUUUGGCCCUGGGACGUGUACACACCGCCCGUCACCCUCUUCGAUAGCUUAUCAAAAAGUCAAUAACUAGUUUAUCGCGCCUUAGAAGAGGCAAGUCGUAACAUGGUAAGUGUACUGGAAAGUGCACUUGGAUAACAAAAUGUAGCUUAAGGAAAGCAUUUCGCUUACACCGAAAAAAUGUCUGCUAAUCCAGACCAUUUUGAGCCUCAGAUCUAGCCCAAUUCAUCUUAUGCACUAAAUCUAUAUUUUCUAUAAAAUAAAACAUUUUAACUUUCAAGUAAGAGUGACUAAAAAAUUUCACGGAGCAAAAGAACAAGUACCGCAAGGGAAUGAUGAAAUAGAACUGAAAUAACCUAAAAGCAACAAAAAGCAGAGACCCCCCCCCUCGUACCUUUUGCAUCAUGAUCUAGCCAGUUAACUCAAGCAAAACGAAACUUUAAGUUAGACACCCCGAAACUAAGUGAGCUACUUCAAAAUAGCUUCCAAGAGCCAACCCGUCUCUGUCGCAAAAGAGUGGGAAAAUUUUUAAGUAGCGGUGAUAAGCCUACCGAACUUAGAGAUAGCUGGUUGUUCAGGAAAAGAAUUUUAGUUCUACCUUAAGGCCCACUAUUACACAAAACAACGAACUAGCCUUAAGAUUUAUUCAAACAAGGCACAGCUUGUUUGAAACAGGACACAACCUAAAAAAUAGGGUAAGAUCACUAAUUUACAAACUAAGUGGGCCUAAAAGCAGCCACCUUUAAAAAAGCGUUAAAGCUUGUUUAUACCCCCCCCCCCCAUAAAUUUCACAAGUAAAUUUCAACCCUUUACCACUACUGAACAAUUUUAUAAAUCUAUAAAAACUAUUCUGCUAGAACUAGUAACAAGAAAUUGACUUUCUCCUAAAUACAAGCUUAUACCAACAUUGACUAACUACUGGUAUUUAACGUAACUGACCCUACUGUAACAACUAGCCCCAAGCAAACCUUACAACUAUAAACGUUACCCUGACACUAGAGUAUUUUAGGAAAGAUUAAAAGAGAGAGAAGGAACUCGGCAAAUAUAACCCCGCCUGUUUACCAAAAACAUCGCCUCCUGACUUCCUAUAGGAGGUCCAGCCUGCCCAGUGACACUGUUCAACGGCCUCGGUAUCCUGACCGCGCGAAGGUAGCAUAAUAACUUGUUCUUUAAAUAGGGACUUGCAUCAACGGCACCACGAGGGUUAGACUGUCUCCUCUCUCUAAUCAGUGAACCUGACCUCUUCGUGAAGAGGCGAAGAUUUAGCUAUAAGACGAGAAGACCCCAUGGAGCUUAAAAUGCAGUAACACUUUCUUUUUACAGACCCUAAAAAGCAAGAAAGUUUGUUAGCUAAUUUUUGGCUGGGGUGCCCGAGGAGAACAACCCAUCCUCCCUGAUGACUACUAUCCAAGAGUGACAACUCAAAGAAACAGUAAACUGACAUAACAUGACCCGAUAUAUCCAUAUCGAUCAACGAACCAAGUUACCCUGGGGAUAACAGCGCAAUCCAUUUCAAGAGCCCCUAUCGACAAAUGGGUUUACGACCUCGAUGUUGGAUCAGGGUAUCCUAGUGGUGCAGCAGCUACUAAAGGUU